UUUUCAGCAGCCGCGGUAAUACGGGGGGGGCAAGCGUUGUUCGGAAUUACUGGGCGUAAAGGGCUUGUAGGUGGCCAACUAAGUCAGACGUGAAAUCCCUCGGCUUAACCGGGGAACUGCGUCUGAUACUGGAUGGCUCGAGUGUGGGAGAGGGAUGCGGAAUUCCAGGUGUAGCGGUGAAAUGCGUAGAUAUCUGGAGGAACACCGGUGGCGAAGGCGGCAUCCUGGACCAUAACUGACACUGAUAAGCGAAAGCCAGGGGAGCAAACGGGAUUAGAAACCCUCGUAGUCC
rnacentral:rRNA from 1 species